rnacentral:rRNA from 1 species
GACGAACGCUGGCGGCGUGCUUAACACAUGCAAGUCGAACGGAAAGGCCCUGCUUUUGUUGGGUGCUCGAGUGGCGAACGGGUGAGUAACACGUGAGUAACCUGCCCUUGACUUUGGGAUAACUUCAGGAAACUGGGGCUAAUACCGGAUAGGAGCUCCUGCUGCAUGGUGGGGGUUGGAAAGUUUCGGCGGUUGGGGAUGGACUCGCGGCUUAUCAGCUUGUUGGUGGGGUAGUGGCUUACCAAGGCUUUGACGGGUAGCCGGCCUGAGAGGGUGACCGACCACAUUGGGACUGAGAGACGGCCCAGACUCCUAAGGGAGGCAGCAGUGGGGAAUAUUGCACAAUGGGCGGAAGCCUGAUGCAGCAACGCCGCGUGCGGGAUGACGGCCUUCGGGGUGUAAACCGCUUUCGCCUGUGACGAAGCGUGAGUGAAGGUAAUGGGUAAAGAAGCACAGGCUAACUACGUG